CUUACAAAAGAGGCCUGAGAGAGUUGCCUCGGCCUUUGGCCUUGUCAGGUUACACUGAGAAGACAGCUAUCUAUGAAUCAGGAAGCAGAGCUUCACCAGGCACUGAAUCUAUUGGCAUAUUGAUCUUGAACUUCCCAGCCUCCAGAACUGAGAAAUAACUCUCUGUUAUUUACAUACCACUAUUCUAUGGUGUUUUGUUAUAGUAGCCCGAAUAGACUAAGAUAAGUAGAUAAUAGCAGAUAGCAGAUAUGGUUUAGAUGGUGUCUUAAGACUUUGAGGUAGAUUUCAGGUUCUUAAAUUGGGGAACCCAAUCAGUGAUAAGUGGUUUGAAUUCUAUUAAUGUGAAAUAUAGUAAUAAAGCCUCAUUAACAACAGGGAUUUGGCGAAGUGGAAGAGAAGGCUUAAAGUUCUAUUUUCAGAUAAAAUGGUAUAACCUUCAACUUCCUAUUACCAUGAGUUCAAUUGUUUUGGUUUUUAGAUCCCACAAAUAAGUGAGAACAUAUGAUGUUUGUCUUUCUGUUCCUGCCUUAUUUCACUUAACAUAAUUAUCUUCAGUUCCAUCCAAGUUGUUGCAAUUGACUGCAUCUUAUUCUUUUUUAUGGUUGAAUAGUGCUCCAUUGUGUAUGCAUACCACAUUUUCUUUAUCCAUUCAUCUGUUUAUGAACACUUAGAUUGGUUCCAAAUCUUGGCUAGAAUUUCUGAUUGCAGAACAAUUGAAAUAAAUAACAGAAUUGAAUGUUUAUUGAAUGUUUUUCUUUCUUUUGGGCAUUUUUAGGCUCAAAAGAGAUAAUUAUAACUAGCAUGUGCAUCAUUUUAUAAUAAUUACAAAAUAUGUUGGCAUAUAUUAUUAUUAUUACCACUGCAUUAUAUAACUUGAACAUUUAGUGGUACUUUCUGGGUUGUUUUGCUUUUGCUAACAAUAAAAACAAACUACAGUACACACACAUGUAUUUUUCUAAUCCCAUUUACUUUAUUUUGUCAUGCUACUUUUAAAAUUCUGCUACUUUGCUCCAUUUUAUAUACCUUUAGUACUCAUAUAUAUAAUAAUUAUAAUUAUUUAUAUAAUUAAUUAUAUAAUAUUAGUAAUUAUGAAGUUUAUUUUCUGGAAAAUUUUAUUUUUGUUAUCAUCCAUAGACUUAUAAAGAAAAUAAUGGCAACUUUUAAAUGAUUGAUGAAAUAUUCUUUUUAUAGUUAAAUGUCAUUUUUUACCCAAGGAUACCAAAUAUUAUAACAAUAAUUUCAGAGGCUUAAAAUAUUAGGAAAUGUUAAUAGGCCAGAAAUUGUGUACAGACACAUGUGCAUUGGAGCGUUCAAGCAGGUUCACAAAUACACUCAGCACGAAGAAGAGAAAACAGAAAACAUCCAUUGAAUCCUCUGCCUCUGGUAAUGUAUGGCUCCCAGUAUGCCUCCUUCAAGAGCAUGACUGACCCAAUUACUAGUAUGAGCAAAAGGAAGAAACCCCCAAUUGAACUGAUGAAAAACAUAAACAGUGGCAAUGAAUUAUAACCCAGUUAAAACUGGAUCUGAAAGCUGAAUAAAAGACAUGCAAAAGCUAAAAA
rnacentral:lncRNA from 1 species